ACUGCGGAGGAUCAUUACCGAGUAUGAACGCGGGCUGGAACCGCUCGGGGUGACAGCCUUGCUGACUUAUUCUCCCUUGUCUUUUGCGCACUUCUUGUUUCCUUGGGGGGUUCGCCCACCACUAGGACAAACAUAAACCUUUUGUAAUUGCAAUCAGCGUCAGUAAUUAAUUAAUAAUUACAACUUUCAACAACGGAUCUCUUGGUUCUGGCAUCGAUGAAGAACGCAUGGAAAUGGCAUAAGUAAUGUGAAUUGCGAAAUUCAGUGAAUCAUCUAAUCUUUGAACGCACAUUGAGCCCUUUGGUAUUCCAAAGGGCAUGCCUGUUCGAGCGUCAUUUGGACCCUCAAGCUUUGCUUGGUGUUGGGCGUCUUGCCUCUAGCUUUGCUGGAGACUCGCCGUAAAGUAAUUGGCAGCCGGCCUACUGGUUUCGGACCGCAGCACAAGUCGCACUCUCUAUCAACAAAGGUCUAGCAUCCAUUAAGCCUUUUUUUCAACUUUUGACCUCGGAUCAGGUAGGGAUACUCGCUGAACUAAAGCAUAUCUAAGUUGGAAUAAGACCUCAAAAUCAUGCGGGACUACCCGCUGAGCUUAAGCAUAUCAUCACUGGAGCGGAAGUAAAGACUUUUAAAAUUUUAGCGUGUUCCCCUUCCUGAGCUGAAAAUAUAAAAAAAAUUGUUUUGCCGUUUUCCUGAUCGUGCUACUAAUCCCAAUGGAAAGGUUGCACACAUAUAGGGUCAGAAAACUUAUUCAAUGACCCUUGAUUACAGUCUGCUAUAAAGAGACAUCCCUCGAAGAGUCAAGUUAAUCGCGACUGCAGCUCAAAAUGAGUGUAAAAAUUCCAACUAAACUCUAAGUAUUGGAACAAAGACUGAUUGACAAUACUGCGCAAAUACUAGAGAAAAUCAAAAUGCGAAAUAUGCGGUUCUAAACGCACUGUAAUCUAAAUAGCGUUUCACUAUCGGACCAGUACUGCAGUUCUGGAAACAAAUGUCCAAGAGGUUAAAAUCCGUUUUAUGGCCGGAACUCCAUCUUAUGGUAUGUUUUCUUAGAAGUCAGUU
rnacentral:rRNA from 1 species